rnacentral:piRNA from 1 species
UUCACUUUAUACUGUGGGUUUCCUGGAC